CCAGUUAGAGAAUGACUGAAUAAGUUAUGGUAUAUUAAUGUUAUUGAAUAUUAUUGUUCUGUAGGAAAUAAUCAGCAGAAUGACUUCAGAGAGGCCUGGAGAGACUUACAUAAACUGAUGCUAAAUGAAGUGAGCAGAACCAGGAGAUCAUUGUACACAUCAACAAGAAGAUUAUAUGAUGAUCAGUUCUGAUAGAUGAGGCUCUCUUCAACAAUGAGAUGAUUGAGACCAGUUCCAAUAAUCUUCUGAUGAAGAAAGCCAUCUACAGCCAGAGAGAGGACUAUGGGAACUGAGACAACAGAAGGGGGAUUCACAUCAGACCAAGGGAAAAAGACUUGCAGAUUCAGCUGCCCGUGCUGCUGCCCGUUGCCCCUGAUCAUGGCACCUUUAAUUCCCCAACUACUGACUCCUACACUCCUUUAUGUAGCUCCCAGACUCCAAGACAUGAAACUACAACUACUUGGUCAACCUAAAAUCACCUGAGACCUGAUUUUGACAUUCAGCACCAGAUGCUCCUGACAAUGGCCCUGAAGCCCCUGGACUUCCACAGUGCUGGAGUUCUAUGGCUGCCUGACGCCAGUCUGUUCUGUGAUGACUGGGUUCCCAAGAGAGAUGGUGGGAGUUGGUAGAAGCAGAGUCUCUGAUUCUUGCUCAUUGCUUUAAGUAGCAAUACCCUCAAAAUACAAAGAGAAUUGACUCUAAUUUAUAAGAAAUCAAACCAUUCUCCAAUUGAUAAAUGGUCAAAGGAUAUGAACAGACAAUUCUCAGACAAAUCGAAAUUAUUUCUAGCCAUAUGAAAAUAUGCUCCAAGUCAUUAUUAAUCAGAGAAAUACAAAUUAAGACAACUCUGAGAUACCACUACAUACCCGUCAGACUGGCUAGAAUGACAGAGAAAGAUAAUGCUGAAUGUUGGAGGGGAUGUGGGAAAACUGGGACACUGAUACAUUGUUGGUGGAAUUGUGAACACAUCCAGCCAUUCUGGAGAGCAAUUUGGAACUAUGCUCAAAAAGUUAUCAAACUGUGCAUACCCUUUGAUCCAGCAGUGUUUCUACUGGGCUUAUACCCCAAAGAAAUCUUAAAGAAGGGAAAGGGACCUGUAUGUGCAAAAAUGUUUGUGGCAGCCCUGUUUGUAGUGGCUAGAAGCUGGAAAAUGAAUGGAUGCCCAUCAAUUGGAGAAUGGUUGAAUAAAUUGUGGUAUAUAAAUGUUAUGGAAUAUUAUUGUUUGGUAAGAAAUGACCAACAGGAUGAUUUCAGAAAGGCCUGGAGAGACUUGCAUGAACUGAUGCUGAGUGAAAUGAGCAGGACCAAGAGAUCAUUAUAUACUUCAACAAAAUGAUGAUCAAUCCUGAUGGACCUGGCCCUCUUCAACAAUGAGAUGAAACAAAUCAGUUCCAAUAGAGCAUCAAUGAACUGAACCAGCUACACCCAGGGAAAGAACUCUGAAAAAUUACUAUGAACCACUACAUAGAAUUCCCAAUCCCUCUGUUUUUGUCCACCUGCAUUUUUUAUUUCCUUCACAGGUUAAUUGUACACUAUUUCAAAGUCCGAUUCUUUUUGUACAGAAAAUAACUGUUUGGACAUGUAUACGUAUAUUGUACUUAACUUAUACUUUAACAUAUUUAACAUGUAUUGGUCAACCUGCCAUCUGGGGAAGGGGGUGGAGGGAAAGAGGGGAAAAGUUGGAACAGAAGGUUUUGAAAUUGUCAAUGCUGAAAAAUUACCCAAGCAUAUAACUUGUAAAUAAAAAGCUAUAAUAAAAAAAGUAGCAAUAUGCUGUCACCUGCUUGCUUAUGCACUUAGUCACUAGAAUAGUUUGAGAUUUCUUAGCUAAAAUGGCUCCUGAAAGCUUCCACUGAUGUGCCUGGGUUGGUUCUAAAUGGUAGAGGGCAGGUUACAGUUGGUACUGAAGAGGGAUCAGCAUGAAGGCCCAGAUCACAAAGAUGCCCUAGUAGAAGAAAUAUAUCAGGAUUGGGGUGAGAAACCUUCAAAGGUAUGAAAAAGAGGAGGGACUGAAUGGGACCAGGGGAAGACUUCUCCGAGGCUAUAAGACCCCAGGCCUAAGUUUCAGGAAGUCAUUGGAUCCCUAUUCCCAGAGGUCUGUUAUAAGGGUCCUUUAAAUGGGCCGGCACAGCGCAAUAGGAAGUUUGAGUGGCCUGGAAGUAAUUUUCUGUGGCUAGGGACUGCCCCAUGGGCAGGACUCUUGUUAUAGUGAUGUAGCUUUGUAAUGGGAGACAGCUCCUGCUCUUAUUGGCUGUGGGUGACCUCAAAGACCCUUUUUAAGCCCACCACAGCAGGAGGUCGAUCACUUUAUCCUGGAGUAGCUGAGCCAAGCUGAUGGAUAGCCAAGAAAGGUAAGGGGCUUGAGAGUGAACACGUGGAUCUCUCGCAGACCACAUGGUCACUCGGGGUUAACAAGUUGGAGCAUUAUGUGAGCAAGUAUAAUAAAGGCUUUAAGUUUGCACGUGGCUGUUCUUGAGCAUGUUAUCGGUUAUUAAACUACGAUUCAAGAAAUCGUAGCCAGGGUCAGUGGCCAGAAGUUUUCUGACGCCCGGGAAUUAGGAGAGACUGGCAAUGUAAAAUAUCGAGUUAAGUAAUAAAUGAUAAUUUACAGUCUGUAGGACAGAAAAGGUCAGACCUAGGCCUAAGCUUCAUGAAGUUAUAUCACCCACAGGAAGCAGACAGAAUUGCUGACCAUUGGUCAAUGGUUACUUCCUUUUCAGCCCAUCCAAUGAAUCCAAGUCUUUUACUACAUAAUUCACUCCCUGUUUCCAGCCUGGGGUCACAUGCCAUUCUGGACUGCUCAGCUGGAAGGUUUGGACCUCUCCUUGCAAGGACCAAAUAAAUGUUUUCCGUUUGUAUCUGAAGAUACCUUUGAAUAGUCAGUUUAGGUAAGGGAAUGUAACACUCCAUCCCAUACAAUCCUUAGCCAAUGGGGCAAUAAAGGAGAGACCAUGUGCUUCAAGACAGGAAAUUAAAGGCUCAUUCUCGUUUCUGUUAGGGUAGAUCUUCCCAAGGCCUUCCAAGAAUGGUAAAUAAACUAAUUUCAUAUACCCCCUGAGUCCUUUUUAAUCUUUGUAGUGGAUUUCUAACAAUUCUUCUGUUUUUCUUAAAUGCAAUUUUCAUAACUCGGAAACUCCAUUCAAUUCUCAUAUAUUCCCAUUUGAUUAUUAUUUUUUUUUCCCCAUUUGAUUAUGAAUUCUUUAAAGGGAGGGACC